UAAGGUAACGGCUUACCAAGGCAACGAUGAAUAGGGGAACUGAGAGGUUUAUCCCCCACACUGGUACUGAGACACGGACCAGACUCCUACGGGAGGCAGCAGUGAGGAAUAUUGGUCAAUGGACGCAAGUCUGAACCAGCCAAGUCGCGUGAAGGAUGACUGCCCUCGGGUUGUAGACUUCUUUUGUAUGGGAGUAAAGUGGGUUACGAGUAACCUAUUGCAAGUACCAU
rnacentral:rRNA from 1 species